rnacentral:lncRNA from 1 species
GUUGAAAUGGGUAAUGGUUGGAGUGAUCCUGCUGGUAGUGUAUGUGUCGCUUUUGCUUGUUGGAAAAUGGUGCAUUUUUUAAUGAAGUCUUGAAUAUCCUAGUUCAUGUUGUGCUAGUAGAAUUGAGAUACAAUUCUAGCAUUGAUUCUUGUCAAACCAGAGUGUCCCCUAUUGAAGAACUAUGAUAUUCCUGUAGCACCAACUGUAUCAAGUUAUGAUUAUUUGGGAUCACUAUUCUUCCUUUCCAAAACAGUAAUCCUCCUUUUGUAGAGUAGUUUGGAUUUGAGUUAUUUUUAGACACACAACUCUUCAAAAUCUCUUGGAACUUGUUAUUUGUAAUUGUU